rnacentral:rRNA from 1 species
AUUGAACGCUGGCGGCAGGCCUAACACAUGCAAGUCGAGCGGAUGAGAGGAGCUUGCUCCUUGAUUUAGCGGCGGACGGGUGAGUAAUGCCUAGGAAUCUGCCUGGUAGUGGGGGAUAACGUUCCGAAAGGAACGCUAAUACCGCAUACGUCCUACGGGAGAAAGCAGGGGACCUUCGGGCCUUGCGCUAUCAGAUGAGCCUAGGUCGGAUUAGCUAGUUGGUGAGGUAAUGGCUCACCAAGGCGACGAUCCGUAACUGGUCUGAGAGGAUGAUCAGUCACACUGGAACUGAGACACGGUCCAGACUCCUACGGGAGGCAGCAGUGGGGAAUAUUGGACAAUGGGCGAAAGCCUGAUCCAGCCAUGCCGCGUGUGUGAAGAAGGUCUUCGGAUUGUAAAGCACUUUAAGUUGGGAGGAAGGGCAGUAAGCUAAUACCUUGCUGUUUUGACGUUACCGACAGAAUAAGCACCGGCUAACUCUGUGCCAGCAGCCGCCGUAAGAC